UCUCCCCACAGAUCCACCAACCACUGGAACACAUCUCCAAAGUUCUGCCGGGCCAGCUCAGCUUCCCUUCAGAAGAAGUGCCACCACCUGACAGAUGAAGGGGCCUUUUGAGAGGCAGCUGGCAUCGUGAUUGGACUGUACUUUGGUCUGUUCCAAUCCAGCUUCAGCUCCAGAGACGGCAGGCGGGACGAGUCAACGGAGGCCGGGUGGACGAAGGCAUGAAGCUGAGUACAAUCCAGAAAACAACAGAGGAGGAGUGCAGCGGCCCAGGGCCAGAAUAUACAGAGUAGCAUCGUAUGUCUCUUAGAAAACAUCAUAGUCAGGGGCGGAUCUACUGGGGUGGCAUAGGGUUGCAACUGUCACCCCUAGAAGAUGCCUUGCCACCCCGGCUGCCACCCCAGUUCUGAACGAUCUAAUUCAAAAAUAUGUAUAUGAAAGGUUGUGGCCGGCCGUAAAGAGCGAAAGUCCAGGAAAGACGAAUAACGAGUGAACCUCCGAUGUCCGAGUGCUUUCGAAUGCACCAUGUUGACGUCACGUCCUGUACAGUCUAUGCUGCUACAGCUACGAGGUGACACGACCCUCCUGAGGGGGCUGCUCUUAGACCUCACUCAUGUGGAUGACAGCUGGACUUCGGUGUGACAGAGACAGUAAAGAAUGAAGAGGAAGGGAACCACCAGCAGCUUUUCCCAGCCUAAAAGAAAAGAGGAGGAAGAACAUCCCAGAGAGGAGAUGGAGGAGGAAGAGUUCAGAGAGAGAGAAAGAAAUGAAGGCAUGGAGAGCUCAGACAGCGAAAGAUCAAAGAACUACAGAUUCUUCACAACCUGCUCAAACUCUUGGUACAGGACCUCACCACACGGGUCAAGAAGGUUUCUGUCUCAUUUCUACUCUGAAGCUCACCUUCUCCUGCUCAAACUGCUGACAAAUGUUUCUGCUGCUCUAAAGUCUGCUCUCCAGAACUUCCUAAAAACUCUCAAAGUCUCUUCUGCUGCAGGUUGCUUUGCAGAACUGUUCCAGAAAACCUCACUAAACCACAUGGAGGAGCCUCAAGAUAGUCGUCCAAAUGAAACCAUACAAAAACCAGACUAGUACAACCUAAAUGCUAAAGUCUCCUGCAGCCUACCAGAGAACCUCUGAGAACAGAGAAUCAGGACAGGAACUCUUACCUUCUGGACAACCAACACUGGUUCACAAACAAGAAUACAGAAUGUGUCUGACCAAAAACCUCUAAAGACUCACUACAGCCAAGAUAAAGACAACUCAGCUGCAUCAAAUCCACUAAUCACUGCACAAAUUGCACCAUGUGCUAACUGUGGCUAAAGAAUCACAUUUACCAAGAUAACUAUCCAGUACAAAGCCUUAAAACACACCAAGAAACACAUUAAAGACGAUUUUACUGCUGGAAGCUGCAAGCCAACGCCUAAAGAACAAACUAAAGCAAUGGAGCCAAACCCAGUUAGUGGUGAAGAGAAACAGAGGAAAUGUUUGUCUGCAGCCACAUAAAGCAGGAAGACACUGAGCUGCUCAGGUGUUCCUGAUAACACCAAGCAGCCACCUGGACAGCCAAUAGGAACACAGCUUCCUGGAAGUCCAGAGGGCUGGCUUAGUGAAGGAAAUUUAGUUUAAAGUUGAAGCAGAAAGUUAAGAAAGAAAGUUGAAAACCACCUUCUGAUACCUGAAAUCUCUGAGUUUUCACACAAAGAACGCCUGAACAUGUCAAACUGGUUCCAUAGUAGAACCAUCAUUGUAAAAAUGUCAUAGUAUGGUGUGUUGCUCAAAAAACAUUACGACCCGGCUGUCUAGGGUGGUAAUGUUUUUUGAGCUGGUCACUGCUUUAGCAUUACAAACACUCUCCAGCAUUGAGAGUGUUUUAGGAAUUCAUUCAUUGUGUUGUGAACUUUGAAUGAGCAGAAACUUUACAGCUGCCAAAGAUAUGAGCUCCAAUUCUGGAUGUUUUAGGAAAUGAAGUUCAUCUAAUGAACACUUGAUUUUUGCUGAUAAAUCUCAUUAAAUUACUGAAGAAAUCCAACAUAAAAACCUGUAAACUCUCAGGCAGCUUUUGUUAAAGUUUGUCUAUAAUUCUACCAUCAUGUUCUGGAACCAGGACUCUGCAGAAGUUCCUUCAAUCAGAUACUUGUGUGUUUCUAUUUAAGGCCUCAGGUUUGAACGUACAGCAGAGGAUUAGAAAGGAGUGAUUUUAAUGUUUAAAUCAGUCCAGUAAAUGUUUGGCUUGAAAAUUAUAAAAAUUUUGAUUUAGAUAGAUUUGUGUCAAAUAAUAUUGUAGAGUCUCACUUAAAUAUAUCCACAUGAGUUCAGUGUAUUUACAUUUUAUAGAAUAUUUGAUUUCUUAAUCUCAAUACUGUAGGGUCUGACCCUAAAUAUUAUAAUAAUGAUGUAAAUUUAAAUACUAAAUAAUAUUGCAGUGCAGAGUCAUAAACUUUAAUCAGCUAAACUUACAUAAUAAAUAUCACUGUACAAUCUUAACCUGAACAUUCAUAUUAUUGAGGUAAAUUUACAUAAAUCAUAACUGUAAUAUGUCUAACAUGAAUCUUUUUGUAUUGUGCUGAUAAACAACAAUAACCCCACUUUCAGAUAAUAUUUAUUCACUGUGUAUUGGGUAGUACUCAUUCUGAUUUAGUAUGAUUAGCAUACAGAACUCUAUGAUGUUUAUGGUUUACAGCUCAGAACUGGUUGCUAAAAGUACAGAAUAUUAUUUCUUGUUUUAUGUGUGAUAAUUGGCAGUAAACAUUCUAAGAAGUGGAAAUUGA